GAAUGCUUGUUAUAUGGAGGCAGAUAAUUUGAUGGAGCUACAUCUAACUUGACGUAGAGACCACAGUGUGUCACCAGAGAUUCUGGCCUCCUGAGCUGGAUGCAGAAACUGAGAGAACUUGGAGUUGACUCCCAUGGGGAGUGGGUACCUCCUCAGGAAACUCUGAAAAAGAAGAAGUAGAAAUAGUAUGAGACAAGAAACAGUCAUAUUCCAAAGAAUGAAAUACUGUUACAAAUGAUGGAUCCAGAAAAUCUUAUCUGGCAACUUGCUGUUAUUUUCAGUAAGCCUGAUGAUGAAGAAGAAAGGAAAGAA
rnacentral:lncRNA from 1 species